GACUGGUCCAAGUGCAGUGGUGUUUACAGCUAAUUGAUCAUAACCAGUUGUAGAUUUCUUUGUUCCUUCUCCACUCCCCACUGCCUCACUUGACUAACCUAAA
rnacentral:Y_RNA from 1 species